rnacentral:rRNA from 1 species
AAUCAACGCUGGCGGCGUGCCUCAGACAUGCAAGUCGAACGCGAAAGUUCCCUUCGGGGGGCAAGUAGAGUGGCGCACGGGUGAGUAACACGUAGGUAAUCUACCUUUGGAUUGGGAAUAACAACCGGAAACGGUUGCUAAUACCGAAUAAUGCAGCGGCACCUAAUGGUGACAGUUGUUAAAGCGGGGGAUCGCAAGACCUCGCGUCUGAAGAGGAGCCUGCGGCAGAUUAGCUAGUUGGUAAGGUAACGGCUUACCAAGGCGAUGAUCUGUAGCCGGCCUGAGAGGGCGGUCGGCCACACUGACACUGACAUACGGGUCAGACUCCUACGGGAGGCAGCAGUCGGGAAUUUUGGGCAAUGGGCGAAAGCCUGACCCAGCAACGCCGCGUGAAGGAUGAAAUCCCUCGGGAUGUAAACUUCGCAAGAACGGGAAGAAUAAGUAAGAGUUAAUAUCUCUUACGAUGACGGUACUGUUUGUAAGCUCCGGCUAACUCCGUGC